rnacentral:lncRNA from 1 species
UGAAUUCUUUGAAACAUUUUGCAAAGUAUUCGGACUUGUGUUUAUUCAAAAUAAACUAUAGUCCAACUGAGAGUGAUCUUCGGUGAAUGUCACACAACAUGAGUAGUAUUAUGUUUGUGGACAAGUGCCACUAACAUCUAAGUGAAUUAACCUCAACAACUUUGUGAUUCUUUCUUCUUUCCAAAAAAAUAAAGAUUCGAACAUUUCGCCUCUAUACAAUUUUAACAAGAAGGUAU